CAUAUCCAAAUAAUUGCCACAUGCCAAUAUUCAGCUCUAUUUGCCUAUUAAAUCUUCCUCAAGAAAUUUCCAAAUUUUAUACCCAGAGAGAAGCUUUGUGAAGGAACUACUAGCUAGGAAUAUCCAAAUGAUGUAAGAUUUUUCCAAAUAUUCUAUCUGCCCAAAUGAUCACUCUCCACAAAAUUUGAUCUCUAUCCAUUAAUCCAUGUGAGAUCAUCAUCAAAUGUUUAGCCAAGUCACCAAG
rnacentral:lncRNA from 1 species